GAUGAACGCUGGCGGCGUGCCUAAUACAUGCAAGUCGAGCGAACGGACGAUAAGCUUGCUUUUCUGAUGUUAGCGGCGGACGGGUGAGUAACACGUGUAUAACCUACCUAUAAUACUGGGAUAACUUCGGGAAACCGGAGCUAAUACCGGAUAAUAUUUUGAACCGCAUGGUUCUAAAGUGAAAGACGGUCUUUCUGUCACUUAUAGAUUGUUCCGCGCUGCAUUAGAUAGUUGGUAAGGUAACGGCUUACCAAGGCAACGAUGCAUAGCCGAACUGAGAGGGAGAUCGGAAACACAGGAACGGAGACACGGAAAAGAGGACUACGGGAGGAAGCAGAAGGGAAUAUUACGAAAUGGGCGAAAGAAUGACGGAGCAAAGACGAGUGAGAGAAGAAGGUCUAAGGAGAGUAAAACUAUGUUAUUAGGGAAGAAAAAAUGUGUAAGAAAAAGUGAACAGAUUGACGGUAACUAAUAAGAAAGCAACGGCUAACUACGUG
rnacentral:rRNA from 1 species